UCUUAAAGGUGCAUAUGUGAGAUUUUUAGUAAAAAAAAAAAAGUCUCACACAUGCACCUGUCUUGUAAUACCAUUUUGAGCUCCCCAUUCGGACCACUGCUGCUAACUUUAGCUGCAAUUUGAGUUAGCAGUGCAGCUAGUAGCUCUAAUAUGUUGCCCCAUAUUUUUUUGAGUAGUAAUUCCAGAGGUGGCCAUUUGUUACAUACUGCACCUUUAAACACAAUUUGAUGGCUUUUCAGAUAACAUCCUGUUGCCUCCACAUAACCCGAAAAGUAACGGUACACACGGAUGAUGGUUUAUUGCUGUUAUAAAGGCUCCAGUGUCCUGCUGGAAAGAGCAGUCUGAUGCAAAGGUAAAGCGAUGAGCAUGUUCUGUAUGUCCUCCACAAGAAGCAUCAAUCUGUGGCAGAGGCGGUGCAGAGCUUCAGUGUUUGACAACCUGAGAAUGAGAAUGAAUUCAUCUUUUUCAGAAUUGCUCUACAGGUUUUCCUACAUGAUGUUGCUGCAGUGGUCCAUCCAUGCAGUGGCUUACCUCCAUCUCCUGUACGUGACUCACUGACUUCGGAUCAGUACCUCAUACAACCCCAAUUAACAAAACCUGAUCUAUCCCUUUAAAGCCUGACCUAUCCGUGCAUCUGUGCACGCGUGUGUGUUCUCUUUUGUGUGAACACAACUCUGCACUAAGCCAUGUCUUCAGCGCUCAGCGUAUACCAACCACUUAGCACAUGAUAGGUCGACCCCGAAAGGUCACAACACGGCAUGUAUCCAUGGUGACCGCUUUGCCAGUAGAAAAAUGAGCCGGGUUCAGAGCCGCAAUCUGAACCAAAUCAGCUCACGUACUGAAGUACAGGUGCAUCCAAAUCAACACAAACAUGUGCGCAGGCGUUCUGCUGUCAGGAGGGGAGGACACUGACAACACAGGAGAAGAUAGAAGAUGGAGGAGAAGAAGAUGGAGGCAGAGGAUGAUGAGGCUUCAAGUGGAAACCGAAGACCCUGCUGGGAUUCAUUUUUCACUUUCAUCCCGAGUUGCACAGAGCAGAGGGACCAGCAGACGCCUUCGCAUCAGAUCCAUGUGGUUUUUUAUAGUCUUUGAUAACUGACAGCAGUUUAUUCACCAGCGAUCACCACCGUAACAACCUGCUUUUGUCGCUGAAUCUGGAUCAUAAUUAAUCUCUUCAUACUCCCGGGAGGAGACUUAUGUGUUGUCAGUGGAGAAGGUCACGCAGGAAAUAUUUCAUCUGAAACCAGUAAAAUCCUCCUACAAUGAGGGCAAAACACUGAGGAUGGCUGUUAAUGAAGGUAAUGAUGUUUAUACAGGCACAUUCAUCAGAGAGGGUUCCAAUACACCUGAAUUAGCAAACGUCACACGAGCUGAUUUCAUCAAAAAUAAUUUCCAGAAGCUGUCCUGAAUCUACGCUUGUCUCACGUCCCGCCACAUCAUUUUUUGAGGUCGGUGUUGUGAAAGGAUCGUCUUUUUUUAGACGCAGCGGCUGUGAAACCUCUAUAAUCCAUUUACAUCGAACUGAGGAUUUGUUACCUGAUCCCGUUUCACUCUUUCUCUUUUGCAUAAAAGAGCGUGUGAGUGGGAUCUUUCGGUCUCGCUCUUUCUCUCCGUCUCUCUGUCUGUCUCUCAGCUCGCCAGGUGAAUGAGUCAUCCUGUUAAAUAGAACAUCUGUGCACCACAUAUCAGAUGUGAAAACAACAGCUGGCUAAACCCUAAAAACAAAAUAAGGAGAUGGCUGCACAAAUGAGACGGGAUCAUACAAGUUAUCAAGUUUCCUCCUGACCUUAUAUGUUCACACACACUCUCUUCAACAAAACUUUGAGAGAAAACGAGUCAUUUAUUACGAGUAUAUUCUGUCUUACACAAUGCCAGUUUGUUUGCUAGCAAAUUACCAUCGUUAAUAUACUGGUGGCCAUUUCCAGACACAAUGUCCUUCAUGACUAAUGACAAAUUAACUUGUUAGUUCAUUGUUCACUGCGCAGUAUAUCAGACAGAACUCUUGUGACAUCUGAAACAAUGUCUGUCCUGAUGAGUGACACCCAGUUCUCUGUAUGUACUGUAUAUGUAUAUAGGUAACAAGUGAAAUGAAAUUAAUUCUAAUUAGAUAUAUACAGUUUAAUUAAAAAAGAAAAAUGA